CCUUACCGCAGUUUCCCCGGGAAAAGCCAUCACGCGAAGUAGGAGACGCGUUGAGGACCGGAACAAAGGAGGCAAACCCCUGUGUUCCCCAGGCACCACGGGACUGACCGCUGCCCCCACCCAGACGAACCGGAUAAUCCCAUAAGAGCUCGCUGGAUGACUGAGCCAAUGAACACAAGUCCCAAGGCGAAGCAACCAUCCCCGGGGCAAGAAGCUCCGUCGUUGUCUGACCACAGCCUCUCUAAUGUGGCCCACUAGCACAACCUCAUGCAUUCCAGAGCGCACAAACAUGUUGACCAAACGGGACUCAUCAAUCCAGAUUUCUCUCGGACUCAGUUCUUAAACAUCUACUUUGUUUUUCACUUGUUCCCUUUCAUCAAACCACCUGUCUGUAAGAACAAUAUGGUUCUCAUUAAGCUGACGUUACUCUCGAUACACCGUAUCCCUGAGCAAUGCUUCACUAUUUUCCCGUAAACCUUGUAGUGAUAUGCCAUCAUCAUCAUCAUAAUCAUCAUGUAAGGCCUAAACAAAAAUAGGAAAUUUCUUUUAAUAUUUUUUCCACUUAAUUAUGUACAAUUGUAUGAACGUUUUGUGAAUCAACUUGAACAUGUCGUUUCUUGACAAUAAACCGAUUUAGUUUCGGUUCCAAACAAUGUAGAGAAAUGCUCUGAAACACAAGGCGUCUCAGGCAUUGUCAAAACAAUUAUAUUCCCUGUGCCGAUGAUAAUUUGCACUACAACUAAUAGAAAUAUGUCAGCAAUGAUGGUGAUUAAGGUUGCCGGAUAGGGUCAGCCUUCUUCUCUUAGUGAGCGUCAAGAUGCUGUGAUGACUCUCACAUUAGGGUGUCUGAGUUCCAGCAUUUCUAUUCUUCUUUCAAUUUGAUAGCUAAUCAAUGAGGGGCCUGAAGGAGGACCAGCUGAGCUCAGACGAAAGGAUCCUAAUUGAAUCUGACAAUAAUUUUCACAUAUUUCUCUUGCUCUGUCUCAUAUGCCAUUAGCGACAUCACUGUGAUAAUAGUUGCCAUGACAGCAUGAGCAAUGCUCAUUAAUGACCUGGCUGGUGGUAAUGUACGGGGCCAUAUUUCCCUUUUCCCCUUCUCUUUUGCUUUCUUUCCUUUUUAAACCUUCUGCCCUUCUCCAUUUGAUUAAAAAAAAAAUGUUUUCAUCACACAAACAAAACACUUUAAUCAUGAAGCAUAAGGAUUGAAUUGCAUAUUAUAAUCCUUCACAAAAAAUCAAAAACAUUAAAUGUUUGACUAUAAUCAGGAGUGGACAAAUGAAAGGUUUCAGUGUGAAAUCUUUAUGUUUGAUCAAAUUACUUUGUUGAAUGUUUCUGAUUCAUCAAGCACAGAAAAAAGUGGCUCAGUGGACAACAGCCUCCACCAGGAAUGUAUUCCUAUGCUCAAAGCAUAACAGAGUGUACACAAGACAAACAUCUGUUGAGGACAGGGCUGUGUUUUCAGUGUGGUCUGGAGCUUUUUAAAAAGUGCUGUGGACAGCUUUCCAAAAGGCUUGGAAGGACAAACACCUCCUCUUUUUUACUAAGGGCAAACGUCUCUGAAGGGGACCGAGUCUGUCUGCACUGUAAACACAAGGGUGUCAAGAACCAAUGUCACAUUCGGCUGGUGGGGGACUUCCAACACUGAGGGACACGCAGGCAGCCACAGAUGGAAGAAGCAAACAGCUUCACACAUAUGCACUAACAUGCACAUUUGCACGUACAGUACAUGCACACAUGGCCAAUUUGCCUGCACAAAUUUAGACACACGUGCAAACUGUCACUGUGCAAUUCAUAUAACAAAAAGGGUACUAAAUAAGAGAACUAAACUACAAGAAAUUAAACAAUCUCAAUCUCAAGUAAUCUUAUACUGAGCAGUUGCAUUCUUAGUAUGACUAACAGUGUGCUGCCGGUAAAAAAUAAAUGCUGAAUUAGGGAACUGAGAGUGUCUGCGUCAGUUUGUACUUCUUGACAAGCCAGCAGCAGUCCGAAACCUUUGGAAACAGCAAAUAUAGAGAAUCACAAUGUAGAAUCUACAUUGUGUGUUUUAUCAAAGUGCAUUCUGAGGUGUACAUGCCAAUUA
ensembl:lncRNA